rnacentral:tRNA from 1 species
GGGGAGAUUCCAGAGCGGUCAAAUGGGGCAGACUGUAAAUCUGUUGUCUUACGGCUUCGUAGGUUCGAAUCCUUCUCUCCCCA